rnacentral:lncRNA from 1 species
UCAUUUAUACAACUUUACAACUUUGAAGGAUUUAGUCAUUUUAUACAACUUUACAACUCCUCGAUAUAAUAGUGUGCCUAGCUAACUACUUGUAUCUAACAUGCGCCGUAGAACCACAGCGGCACAGCCUCACAUGCAAACGAUAAGAUCAUUCAGCUGUUACUUAAUUAGGUCCUUAUAUAUGAAUAAUGCUAAAGAUACAAAUUAUUCUAUAAACAUUUUACAAACUGUUGAUGUGACAUACUCCAUCUCAGCAUAUUGUAUGGGGCCGAAGACUUCAUUGAAACAAUUUGUUGAUCAAUAUGC